UAUACACCUAACUCCCCACCCAGUCCCUCACAUAUAUACACACACAGUUUUCCCUGUUAUUAACAUUUCACACUGAUGGCUACUAAUGUAAACUGUGGACUUCAGUUAAUAAAAAUGUACCAAUAUCGGCUCAUCAAUUGUAACAAAUGUGCCACACUAAUGCAUCAUUUUUAAUUAACUACAUGACAUUAUAUUGUGUGGGUUUAUCUCUCCAUUCCUUAACUGAUAAAGAAACUGGCUCUAGCUUUUUACCACUAUAAACAGUGCUGCAAUAAACAUCCUUCAACAUUUAGCUUAUGCAUUGGAAGCAUUAUUUCUAUGAGGUGAGUUUUCAUAUGAAAUUAUCAGGUGAAAGUGUAUGCAUAUUUUACCAUUUGCUGCCACUUGUGUAAUCAUCCCCUUUUUCCAUCAGGUUUUACAACGCAAAUCACAUCUUCUUCUAGAGUCUUGGUACAUAGCUAGUGAGACUUUUGAAACUCAUUUAAUAUGCUUGGAUUUUCAUGAACCAUUGGAUGACACGUUUGGUUGAUAUUAGUUGGAAGAUCAUGAAUUCCUUCUGAAACCAGAAAUAUGAUCCUUAGUGGGAAUAGGUGGCUGCAAGUCUGGCCAUUCUUCAAUAUCCAGUAAUAAGGCUGAAAGGAAGUCAUCUCUAUUCUUCCUGCUAAGUUAAAGAAUGUUCAAAACAGUGAAGACACACAAAAUAGAAUGUUAUAAUUUGCAUAUUCUUGGGGUGGAUCGGGAUUGCUGACUUUAUUCAUCCAUGAAAAUAAGCACUGGUCCAUCUACCUACAGCUCUGGAGGAACAGACAAAUUCAACCAGCAGCUUCUGAAGAUUCCUUUUCACAAACCGUGACACCAAAGUUCUAGUGGCAAGAAGCAAACUCAGCAAUUCUGCAAGCAAGAUCAAGCAUUGCCAACUUAUCUUUUCUUUUCCUUAGAGAAAAAAACCAGAAAGGAUAGAAUAAAAACUGUGGACAAGGGAACAUGCUCACAUAUUGUAACAGAGAGAUGGGCUUCAGAGUUUUCUCGGAUGCUAAACGCUUGGUUGACGUUAUAGCAGACCCUACAGAGCUAUCACUUGCCACAAUGUCAGAUCUCUGGGCACUGGGGACAGACUUGAUUAGCAUGACUAACUUUCAUAGUCUCAAAGCUUCAGACAUCAGCAACAGAGAGGAGCCAAGCAGACACUGGAUAAAUAAUAAAUAAUGAGAAACAUGUUGCAACAUUCACUUUCAAAUUGUAUUUUCAAUUUUUCUUACAUCCACAAAUUUCUAGUAAAAUGAAGUUAAGCUGUUUCAUUAAAUUAUCUAGAUGUCAUUUAAGAAAAAAAAGGAAAACAACUUUAGUAUAAUUUCAAAUGUCUCCUUCACGUCAGACACAACAAUGCUGAAGUAUUUCUUGUAUAAAAAUUUCCACUUGUUCUCAAUGUCCAGUCAACCUAUGGAACCAUUUCCUUCCUGUUAUGGUCAAACUUCUCCAAAGAGAUUGUACAUUUUUCCAUAUUAUGUUCACUUCUUUCUCAUAAUAAUCUUUCUGCCCCUAUCAGUUUGUUUUAACUGUUUCUCAAAGCCCAUUGGCCUCUUUUCAAACAAUCUCGUCAAACUUUUUGAUAUAUGUUACUUUUGUUCCAUUCAUCCUUGUUGAUGGGUUCUGAAGACAUCAUGUUCACCUGAAAAUCCUGCUAAACUUAAUCAUAUCAUCAAUUUCUCCCAAAUGCAAGCAUUCGCCAGAAGGUUCCUAGGACCUCGGGCUUUUUCUCUCUCAGACUGUUUCAUCCACUCCUGUGGCUACAAAUACUCACCACUUCUGUUUCUAUAUCUUAAAUUUUACUUCUCAUCUCAGCAGCAGACCCACUGGUCAACUGCUAAGUUGAAUCAUCACCGUGGAACUUCAACAAACUCCCUUUGUCCAAACCUGUUCCUUCCCCUUCUAGUCAGCUUCCACCCACCCAGGGUUAAAACACAAGAGUUAUCUUUAGCUCUUCUUUUGCAUUUCUAACAUCCAAUCAUUCACUCAGUUUUCUCACCUCUGUGUCUGCGGGGAUUCCUCAUCUAAAUUUUGUUUUUACUACCACACUCAGGCCAACGUCCCAUUAUCUCUGUUCUAGACCACUCGAACAUUCACCCUGCCUUUCCACAUCCUUCCACUCAUCCUUUCCCUGUCAGUGAUUUUCUCAAUGCACAAUUCUGACCAUGUCACUCCUGACUCAAAAGCCAUCUACGCUUAUUCUGUUUUCUACACAAUAAAGAUCAAUGUCUAGUUUAGCAUUUGCAGACCUUCAUAGUUAAGUGUUAGCGGGCUUUAACCUUACAAAUUCUUGUGUAGAAUGACUGUUCUAGAAACCUAAGGGAUUCAACACAGAGAAGGGGGAAACAAAGCAAAAACAGAAUAAAACAGAAAUAAAACAGAAAGGAUAUUGUUUUUAUUUGCCUUUUUUUUUUCAGCUGGAUGGUGAAACAAAUUUUUAACAAUGAUUACAUUGCCAUCUGCUGGAAUUAUUAGAGCACAUUUGAAGCAAUUUUUUUUUUUUCAAGUAUGAAAGCCUUGACUUCAGUUUUCAAACAUUAUCUCUAAAUACAGCUUUUAAUGUCUAAUUUGAGUUUCAUAUAAAUUAGCUUUUUUUUCUUUUUUUUUUAGAAUGGGGGGCAAGAGGAGCAGGGGGAGAGGGAGAGAGAGAAUGUUAAGCAGGUUCCAUGCCCAGUGCGGAGUCAGAUAUAGGCCUCAAUCUCACAACCCUGAGAUCAUGACCUGAGCCAAAAUCAAGAGUCAGACAUUUGACCAACUGAGCCACCCAAGCACCCCAAGAAUUAGCUUCUAUUUAAAGCACACAAAAUUACAAUUAAAUUAGCAUGACCUUUGCGUAUAUCAGACUAUGAGCAUUUACCCUUUAUUACUGAGAGUAUCCUAGUGAGCCCAAGAGUGAAAUUGAUUGUCUUUAUGGAGAAAUAAAGCAUCUUAUCUAAUAUCAGGUGACUUCCAGAAAUUCAUAUUUUCUGAUUCUACGUCAGAAUUCACAUUUGUCACAAUCUUUGAGACUCAGAACUGGAAUUUCCUUUUCCAGUGAAGUAUUCCCAAGCCUACUCUUAAUGUCCCUGAUUUUAUGUAUCUUAUUAUUGGCAAAAAAUAACAAUAUAAUCCCAUUAUUUGGGAGACUAAACAUAUUGCAUUGUAUUGGCAUGAAACAUUGCCUGGGUUUGUCUCUCCAUACUCAGUAGUGAUUAAGAAUCUGGUCUCUAAAGUCAAACUGCAUGUUUCAACUUACUAGCUACUCAUUAACAUUUUCAUAAUCAGCUUCCUCCUCUGUCAAGUAGAGAUGACAAUAUUUCCUUCACAGGGUUGUUAGGAAGAUUAAAUUAGCAAAAACUCUAAAACCAUGCAAAGCAGGACCUGCUAUAUGGUAAGCACCUAACAAUUAUUAGCUAGUAUCAAUCAGGUUGUUAGAGAUAUGAAUUAUUGCAACAUUAUAACCCCAACAGGUAGCAGUGAGUCCCACCUAUAGCAGGCUUACAAUGAGUAUUAUUAAAUAACAAAUUUUUAUUAGCUAUUUAAAAAUGAUUUCAAUUUUUUGAAGUAUAAUUUACAUACAGUAAAAUUCAUCAAUUCUGACAGGACAAUUUAAUGAGUUUUGACAAGUGGAGUUCACUCAGCUUCUUAAAUCUGUAGGUUUAUCUUUUUAUUAUAUUGGGGAAGUUUUCAGUCAUUAUUUUUCAAGUUUUUUCCACAACCAUACAUUUUCCUUCCCUUCUGUAACCCCAAUUACAUGAACAUAAGACCUUCAUGUAGUGUGGUUAUUCCCUGAGGUUCUUUUUUCUUUUUUAAAAUUUUUUUCUCUCUAUUUUUUUUUAAAGAUUUUAUUUAUUUGAGAGAGAGAGAAUGAGAGAGAGAGCACAUGAUAGGGGGCAGGGUCAGAGGGAGAAGCAGACUCCCUGCCGAGCAGGGAGCGCGAUGCGGGACUCGAUCCCGGGACUCCAGGAUCAUGACCUGAGCCGAAGGCAGUCGCUUAACCAACUGAGCCACCCAGGUGCCCUUUUCUCUCUAUUAUUAAGGUUGAAUAAUUUCUUUAUAUUUCUCUCUAUUCAAGUUUAUGGCUCUUCUGUCAUCUGUAUUCUACUGUUGAGUCUAUUCGGUGAGUUUUCCUUUUUAAUUUUGGACACUGUAUCCUACAACUAAAAUUUCCAUUUGGUUCUUCUUUAUGUUUUCUAUUUCUUUCUUGAUACUUUCAAUUUUAAUAUUUGUUUCAAGAAUGUUCACAAUUGCUCAUUCAAGCAUUUUCUAUAAUAGGUACUUUAAAGUCUUUGUCAGAUCAUUCCAAGCAGGGGAAGGAAAGAAGCUUUAAUUCAGAAUGGAAUUCAGAAGUUUAACUCUUCCAUGGAUUGAUAUUUUAAUUACUGAAUGAAACUAUUCUGGUAAAAAAAAAAAAAAGUGACUAGAGAAUGUUAUUAUCUGAGAAUGACCAGUAUGAAGCCUGUCUUAGAUUUUAUUUAGAGGUAGGAGUGUUUUUUUAUGAAUUACAGAAAUCUCUAAGAAUUAAUAAUCACUAUACGUGAUUCAUUACUUAUUUCUUUCUGUGGUGUAUGUUAUCCUUCCUCAACUUAAAAUCAAUGCUCUGAUCCAAUUUUUGUUGAAAUUUUUAUAGUAACACUUCCAGAGGUGAUACAGGGACAGUUUACUUGUUCUUACAUUUCUAAAAAUGUUGCACACCCCACCCCCACCUCAAGUCAUAAAUAGGAUCUUGAAAACAAGAUUCUAUGAUCACAGCACUUUGCACGCCAAAGUCCAUAGUGUUGUUUCACUGUCUUCUGUCUUAAUGUGUUGCAAAUAAGAAGACCAAUAGUGUUAUCAAUCGCUCUGUAACCCUGUUUCUAUGUCUGAAAGCUUAAUAAGGAGUGCUCCUAAUCCCACAAGUUUAUUCAUUUGUCCAGGACAUGGCCAAGAGUGUUUCUUUUUUCAAUAAAAUCUUCCAGCACU